CCGGGGCUUGCUCUGGUGGAUUAGUGGCGAACGGGUGAGUAACACGUGAGCAACCUGCCCUGGACUCUGGGAUAAGCGCUGGAAACGGCGUCUAAUACUGGAUACGAGACGUGGCCGCAUGGUCAACGUUUGGAAAGAUUUUUCGGUCUGGGAUGGGCUCGCGGCCUAUCAGCUUGUUGGUGAGGUAAUGGCUCACCAAGGCGUCGACGGGUAGCCGGCCUGAGAGGGUGACCGGCCACACUGGGACUGAGACACGGCCCAGACUCCUACGGGAGGCAGCAGUGGGGAAUAUUGCACAAUGGGCGGAAGCCUGAUGCAGCAACGCCGCGUGAGGGAUGACGGCCUUCGGGUUGUAAACCUCUUUUAGCAGGGAAGAAGCGAAAGUGACGGUACCUGCAGAAAAAGCGCCGGCUAACUACGUGCCAGCAGCCGCGGUAAUACGUAGGGCGCAAGCGUUAUCCGGAAUUAUUGGGCGUAAAGAGCUCGUAGGCGGUUUGUCGCGUCUGCUGUGAAAUCCCGAGGCUCAACCUCGGGCCUGCAGUGGGUACGGGCAGACUAGAGUGCGGUAGGGGAGAUUGGAAUUCCUGGUGUAGCGGUGGAAUGCGCAGAUAUCAGGAGGAACACCGAUGGCGAAGGCAGAUCUCUGGGCCGUAACUGACGCUGAGGAGCGAAAGGGUGGGGAGCAAACAGGCUUAGAUACCCUGGUAGUCCACCCCGUAAACGUUGGGAACUAGUUGUGGGGUCCUUUCCACGGAUU
rnacentral:rRNA from 1 species